rnacentral:rRNA from 1 species
UACGGAGGGUGCAAGCGUUAUCCGGAUUCACUGGGUUUAAAGGGUGCGUAGGAGGGCAGGUAAGUCAGUGGUGAAAUCUCCGAGCUUAACUCGGAAACUGCCGUUGAUACUAUCUGUCUUGAAUACGGUGGAGGUGAGCGGAAUAUGUCAUGUAGCGGUGAAAUGCUUAGAUAUGACAUAGAACACCAAUUGCGAAGGCAGCUCACUACACCAAUAUUGACUCUGAGGCACGAAAGCGUGGGGAUCAAACAGG